rnacentral:rRNA from 1 species
UGAGGAAUUUUCCGCAAUGGGCGAAAGCCUGACGGAGCAAUGCCGCGUGAAGGAAGACAGCUUACGGGUUGUAAACUUCUUUUCUCAGAAAAGAAAAAAAUGACGGUAUCUGAGGAAUAAGCAUCGGCUAACUCUGUGCCAGCAGCCGCGGUAAGACAGAGGAUGCAAGCGUUAUCCGAAAUGAUUGGGCGUAAAGCGUCUGUAGGUGGUUUAAAAAGUACAUUGUUAAAUUUUAAGGCUUAACCUUAGCAAAGCAAGGUAAACUUUUAAACUAGAGUUUGGUAGAGGCAGAGGGAAUUUCCGGUGGAGCGGUGAAAUGCGGAGAGAUCGGGAGGAACACCAAAGGCGAAAGCACUUUGCUGGGCCAUUACUGACACUAAGAGACGAAAGCAAGGGGAGCAAAUGGG